AUGAAGUUAUUCUUUAUUGCUACUGUGUUACUGAUCAGCGGCACGCAUGGAGCUACAACUGAACAAUUGAGACAAUGGAUUUUGAACAACCGAGAGAGUCUCAAUGGACAAAAUGACUUGGCUGGAAGCAUUCUGAGACUAUUCGGAUGGGGAUCCGACAAGACGACAGAAGCCACAACGACCGAAACCACACCGGAAGCGCCGACGACGUCCGAACCAAGAUCUCACAGUCGUGACGUCUGUCCAUUCUUUGCCGAACCUCUCAUAUUGGCCAACGAUUUUGCCUUCUGUCGACCUGCAUCACUCGGAGACUGUCCUGUUGGAUAUCUUUGUGAUCAAUCCGUGAAACUUGGACGAUCAAUAUGCUGCAAAGAUACUAGACGCGGAAUUGUACCCAAUGGCAGACCAGCUCGCCCAACACAACGUCUACCACUUACGUGGAGCACUGUAACCCCUACCGCAGCUCCAUCGCAACCGAUUCCAACAGCCACUUCAAGAAAAGCGCCAUGGUACAUCAAGGAUCGUACAGCUUGGCCAACAUACAACAGAAUAUCUGCUGAAAAGGCUCUCCAAAAAACAUCAACAACUCAGGAGACAACCACUUCUACCACUGCUCAGCCAACUACAACCACGACCGCAACAACCACAACUACCACAACUCCGCUGCCAACUACAACGACAACACAGCCAACAACUACAACAACUGAACCCACGACGACUACAACAACUACCGAACCAACGACUACUACUCCAAAAGUUAACUCAUGGGCGAAACUGUGGACUUCUACUGCUGAACCAAAAAGCUAUGUAAAUGUGACUGUUCUCCAAGCAGGAUCUGUUAGACCAUUAAGGGACGGACAAGUAGAAGCAGUUGGGGCCAUCACACUUGUCAACGAUAAUGGUUAUAUUGUGCUUAUUGACACUGGAGCCAGCAGUGACACUGAAAGACUGUUGCAUAGUAAGUGUUCAAAAAUCUCAAAACUCUCCAAAGUUUAUAUAUUUCUAGUGAAGGCCUUUGCGUGCGUGAAAAAUACUUUGCAAUCAUUUAUUUUCCAAGCAUUUAUGUAAAGAGAAAAGGGACUAGGGAUGCACAAACCAAUUCCGCACUCUUCUAUUUUUUCUGAAUUCUUUCAAACAGCUUCGUCUUUUUUGAGUAAUUCAAUUCUCCGAUGUGGUCUUCUUUUUCUUUUAUUUGGUAGAGAUUCACUCUAAGCACCAUAUUCCUUCAAGUUAGUGUGUUUUGUUUCUCCAUAUUAUUUUAAAUGCGAAAUUUGGUCUUUAAUUAUUUUCCAUUCAUUUGUAAUUUGUGGUGACAACCUCUCUGUUUAUCGCUAAUCCCCUUUAUAUUAAUGGGCUUCCAAAGUCCAUUAGAAUGUGUACUCAGUUGGUCCUACAAAUUUGCAAAUAAUCUAUCUAGAAAAUAUUUGAAACAUUUCGAAAUUAAAUUGAAUUAAAUGCUAAAAAACAAUGCCUACAAUUUACACGAAAAUGAAAAAUUGUUUAACAUAAAAAUUGUUUAACAUAAAUUAGAAACUGGUAGAACUUGAAAUUUCAUUAUUAAUGAUAAUUUUUGAAAACUAGAGCCUAUUACUUUUUAAAACCCCAAAUCUUUACAUCAUUCUUUCACGAGAGCCCAUCUUUUCUUCUUUCUCUUUUCUCUUAUUUCUAUUGAAUGUGACCGGAAUCGAGCCGACAAAUUGGAUUUUAGCAACUUUAUUCACUCUUCCUGAAUAUAUCUCUAUUCAUCAUUUCUUGUUCUCUAACUCUCCUAUUCCGCUAUGCUACGUUUCCUUAUCCAAUAAGCAGUAGGACGAAUUCAGAUGAAACUGGAAAUAAGUGAGCUUGAAAUGGAGCCAAUGUCGCCGUGGUGCUCACCGGUUAAAACCAGAACAGUUGGACUCUUCAUUGGCAUUUUCGAUUUUUUGUUUCUCACUGCCACUUUUCUUAAAUCUGUCCAAUUUUUGCAACUCUAUGGAUUCAAUUUCUUUGCUACGGCGGCUGUGUCCUCUAUUGGAGUUUUAUAUGCUGUUCAUAUUCUCUGUAUCCUUGCUUGUUGGUAUGGACUUGCGAGACAGCGAUCUUCAUGGCUGGUCCCAAAGAUAGUUUUGAAAGGAACUACUGUACUAAUAUGCGUGGCUAUUACUCUGAUUCUGGCAUUCUUUGUUUCUUCCAAUUCACCAAUCAUUGGCAAUGCAAUUGCACAUGGUUUCAAUGCGGAAUAUUAUGAUCAUCGAGCUGUUAUUGACAUGGCUUGCCUGGUUAUAGUUGGCAUUUCAACAGGGCUAUCCAUGGCACAGGGAUGGCUUCUGGUCUUACUUAUUAACAUUUAUCGACAAGUUCGAGAGGACGAAUUGGAGCGACUUUUGGAAAAAGCAUUAAAGAAGCUUUCCAAACGAGAAAAAAAGAAAAAAGAACAGAAAAAUAGACUUCCUCACAAGUCCUCUAUGAAUAAUAAUAAUGGACAACGCUUUUUAUCACCAGAGACAAGAGAACAGUCGCUGGAUCCUUCAGUCACAUUUACUACUUUUAUCUAAUGGUACUUCAUCUAAAUUAAUUAAGUUCAUGUCUCCAAUCUAGGGACAAGGGUCCAAAACAUCUUCGUGUGAAGAUCCGUUCUUAAUAUUCAAAUUUGCAGGCCUUGCAAAGGAGUCGGUGACUCUUGACCAAAUUGACAGUGUUGUCAUCACUCACGCCUCGCCGGGUCACAUGGGAAACAUGAACUUCUUCGCUCAAAAACCAAUUCUUUACCAUUCAAUGGAAUACAUUGGACGUCACGUCACUCCAACCGAAUUGAAGGAAAGACCAUAUCGAAAGUUGUCUGGAAAUGUUGAAGUAUGGAAGACACCCGGACACACACAACACGACUUGUCUGUCUUGGUGCACAACGUUGCUGGAUACGGAACCAUGGCAAUUGUUGGAGAUUUAAUUCCGAGUGAGCACUUGCUCAGUGAGAAGAGAGAUGUAAUGAUAGAAGAAGGUGUCUGGGACAAUGCUAUCAAGAGACAAAAUGCCAAUUUAAUUGUCUGCAUGGCUGAUUGGAUAGUUCCUGGACACGGACAACCAUUCCGAGUACUUCCAAACUAUAGACAAAAAGCCGGUUGCACACGACUUUUGGCUCAACGUCAUCUUCUAAAUCAAGCAGUUUAA